rnacentral:lncRNA from 1 species
UCCAAUGAAUCAAUGAUCCAAACACAUUGAUAAGUGUAUUUUACAACGUUCUUUGGCUAUACAAGAUUUACAGAAGUUGGAAGAGGAUACUGAGCUAAAAUAUCUAUCGAUAGAAGACGAGAGAAAGGAAGGGAAACGUAACCUUGGUGUUGCAGACGCGAGCGCAGGCAGCGGAGCUGUUCCGAUGGCAAGAGGAGCGACGCGAGUUGCUGGAGAUGUGAACCCUAGAUUUGAACGUAUUGAAGUGGAAGAGGUAGUUGUACUUCCAAGCAAGGUUUGAGUAGCGCACGUUAUAUACCCUAUGGCGUGGAUAGACGUAUGGGAAGUGAACCUUUAGACAAAUCCGAGUUAAGAUCUGCCCAAAUAUCUAAAUAGGGAUAGUAUUUAUAUAGAAUUAAUAGGGGAGAAAUCGUGAUUUCUCUUCCAAAUCUCACGAUUUCUUUCCCAAUCACGACUUACAAUCUCCGGCUACCAUCCAAUACCUCCAGCAAGCGUCCAACAGGCUCCGGCGAACAUCCAUACAGCAAAGGUCUUUUCUCCUCUCUUCUUUAUUUCUUUCAUUUUUGAUUUUUUUCGAUUCUAUUGUAUGUAUAAAAUAUAAUUGUAAUUAUUGUAUAUAUCUUUUUUUUUUAAAUACACUUUGCGUUAUAAUGUGAUAUAUAACUAUUAUGAAAUUAAUGUGAU